rnacentral:lncRNA from 1 species
GGCUCUUUUCUCUUGAUACCAAACAUUUCCCCACAGGGUGACAUAAUAAUUCAACCUUGAGUUUCAAAGCUCUUAGCAGUACCAAUCUAUCAGAGGAGAGGAAGCUCUCAAGGUCACCAUGGAUAGGAUUACAAAGAUCAAGUUCCUGUUAUAACCAUUCCUUUUGGCUAAAUGAAAACACCAAGAAGCGAAUCUAUUGAAAAGGGGGAUUUCUUUGAAACAGCAGCUUUUUACCAUGGAAGGUGUAAACAUGAUAAUUCCAUGAGGAAAUCUCCUCACCACAGUAAUGGCACACUGCUCUCAUCUGAACUGAACUGUUCCAGCUGAUUGUCUAAUAGAGAAAGAGCAGUCUUUUCUACCCAGAGUGGAGGCUGCAGAAUCUUAGCAAAGCAAAGAGUGCAGCAGUCUAAGUUGAUGGGCAACAGAGAGAACUUGAAGGCUUUACUUUCAAGCCCUAAUCUCCCAGUGACAGCUCCUUGCUUCUUGGAGAUGUGCGGACAUAAUUACAAAUGAACAAGUCUACAUCUUAGAAGGUUAGCCAAGUGACAGAUGGGAAUAUAGGUGACAGUUCUCCAAUAUUGUUAGUGAAAUCCUAUUUGUAUAUAUUUACAUAUGUAGUACCAGAUAUAGUCUUUAAAAUGUAGAAAACAUUUUAUGAAUGAAAAAAUUUGACAUGUCAGCAUGGUUGCUCUGAAUUUUUUAACAUUAUUAGAGACACUGGCUGUUCCUUAAAUUGAUAGUAGAUAAAUCACAAAUAGGUGAAAUACAAACAAUACAUGGAUAUAUCUCUAAAAUAUUACUGCAGGUUUAUAUUUAAAUGUAUCAUUUGUAUAUUAAAUUACUUUUUCUUUUA